GACGAACGCUGGCGGCGUGCUUAACACAUGCAAGUCGAACGGCAAGGCCCUGCUAUUGUGGGGUGCCCGAGUGGCGAACGGGUGAGUAACACGUGUGUAACGUGCCCUUGAUUUUGGGAUAACUUCAGGAAACUGGGGUUAAUAUCGUACAGGAGCUCCUGUUGCAUGGUGAGCGUGGGAACUUCUCGGCUGGUGGGGAUGAAUUCGCGGGUUAUCAGCUUGUUGGUGGGGGAGUGGAUUACCAAGGCAGUGACGGGUCGCCGGCAUGUGAGGGUGACCGGGGUCCAUGGGACUGCGGUACGGACCAGAGUCCUACGUGAGACAGCAGUGGGGAGUAUUGCACAGCGGGCGGAAGUCUGUUGCAGAAACGCCGCGUGCGGGAUGACGGUCUUCGGGUUGUAAACCGCUUUCGCCUGUGACGAAGCGUUAGUGACGGUAAUGAGUAAAGAAGCACCGGCUAACUACGUG
rnacentral:rRNA from 1 species